UACGAAGGGGGCUAGCGUUGCUCGGAAUUACUGGGCGUAAAGCGCACGUAGGCGGUCUUUUAAGUCGGGGGUGAAAUCCUGGAGCUCAACUCCAGAACUGCCCUUCGAUACUGGAAGACUCGAGUCCGGGAGAGGUGAGUGGAACUGCGAGUGUAGAGGUGAAAUUCGUAGAUAUUCGCAAGAACACCAGUGGCGAAGGCGGCUCACUGGCCCGGUACUGACGCUGAGGUGCGAAAGCGUGGGGAGCAAACAGG
rnacentral:rRNA from 1 species